rnacentral:rRNA from 1 species
AUACGGAGGAUGCAAGCGUUAUCCGGAUUUAUUGGGUUUAAAGGGUGCGCAGGCGGACUGUUAAGUCAGCGGUGAAAUGUCCCGGCUCAACCGGGGCCCUGCCGUUGAUACUGGCAGACUUGAGCACGGACGGCGCCGGCGGAAUGUGUCAUGUAGCGGUGAAAUGCUUAGAUAUGCCACAGAACACCGAUCGCGAAGGCAGCUGGCGAGGCCGUAGCUGACGCUCAGGCACGAAAGCGUGGGGAUCAAACAGGAUUAGAUACCCUGGUAGUCCACGCAGUAAACGAUGAAGACUUGUUGUCGGCGAUAGAAUGUCGGUGACAAAGCGAAAGCGAUAAGUCUUCCACCUGGGGAGUACGAUCGCAAGGCUGAAACUCAAAUGAAUUGGCGGGG